AACGAACGCUGGCGGCAGGCUUAACACAUGCAAGUCGAACGGGCGUAGCAAUACGUCAGUGGCAGACGGGUGAGCAACACGUGGGAACCUUCCUAGGGGUACGGAACAACUCAGGGAAACUUGAGCUAAUACCGUAUACGUCCGUGAGGAGAAAGAUUUAUCGCCCUUAGACGGGCCCGCGUCGGAUUAGCUAGUUGGUGGGUAACGGCCUACCAAGGCGACGAUCCGUAGCUGAUCUGAGAGGAUGAUCAGCCACACUGGGACUGAGACACGGCCCAGACCCCUACGGGAGGCAGCAGUGGGGAAUCUUGGACAAUGGGCGCAAGCCUGAUCCAGCCAUGCCGCGUGAGUGAAGAAGGCC
rnacentral:rRNA from 1 species